rnacentral:rRNA from 1 species
AUACGUAGGGGGCGAGCGUUGUCCGGAAUUACUGGGCGUAAAGGGUGCGUAGGUGGCACUUUAAGUUGGAUGUGAAAUCCCCGUGCUUAACAUGGGAGCUGCAUCCAAUACUGGAGAGCUAGAGUGCAGGAGAGGUAAGCGGAAUUCCUAGUGUAGCGGUGAAAUGCGUAGAUAUUAGGAGGAACACCAGUGGCGAAUGCGGCUUUCUGGACUGUAACUGACACUGAGGCACGAAAGAGUGGGGAGCAAACAGGAUUAGAUACCCUGGUAGUCCACGCUGUAAACGAUGAAUGCUAGGUGUAAGAGGUAUCGACCCCUUUUGUGCCGGAGGCAACACAAUAAGCAUUCCGCCUGGGGAGUACGGCCGCAAGGUUGAAACUCAAAGGAAUUGGCGGGG